GUAGGUGGCAAGCGUUGUCCGGAAUUAUUGGGCGUAAAGCGCGCGCAGGUGGGUUCUUUAAGUCUGAUGUGAAAGCCCCCGGGCUCAACCGGGGAGGGUCAUUGGAAACUGGGGAACUUGAGUGCAGGAGAGGAAAGUGGAAUUCCACGUGUAGCGGUGAAAUGCGUAGAUAUGUGGAGGAACACCAGUGGCGAAGGCGACUUUCUGGCCUGUAACUGACACUGAGGCGCGAAAGCGUGGGGAGCAAACAGGAUUAGAUACCCUGGUAGUCCACGCCGUAAACGAUGAGUGCUAAGUGUUGGGGGGUUUCCGCCCCUCAGUGCUGCAGCUAACGCAUUAAGCACUCCGCCUGGGGAGUACGGCCGCAAGACUG
rnacentral:rRNA from 1 species